UGCCAAUCUGGAACUGAAAGUGGUAAAACACCCACAUAGGCCUACCCCCUUACUGUAGAAUGCAAACACAAUACAUUUCCUCAUUAUAAGUGGUUUGCUAAUGUAGACACACUUCAGGUAGAAAAAGAAUCCACAUCCAUCACUCCAGCAUUUACCAGAGUUUUACCUCAGUCAGUUGGAGAAGAAAAUGAGUUUGUCUGAGUUUGAGAUUAAGCUUGGCAGGGAGGUUAAGAAAUACCCCAAUCUUUACAGUUCAAGAGAUACAAUAAUUAAUUAUAAUGAUUGGAUUAUAGUAGCUCAUAUUCUCAGCAAAGGUAAAAGAGAAAUGGACUUCAGCUUUUGCAGGACAACGUGGAAAAAGAUGAGGAAAAACUAUGUCAGAGAGCAUAAUACAAAGAUCAAGAGCGGCAAUUCAAGUGUUGGACUAAAAGAUCCGGAGAUAUUACAGGAGUUGAACUGGCUCUCCCCCUUCAUAAAACACAAAGCCCAACCGACCAACAUUCCAGGAGGAGAGGGUCUGGUAGCAAGAGGGCGAGGAGAGACUGGAGGCAGUCGUGAUGCGUCGUUGGACAGAUACCACAAUUUCACCACCUUGUCCACCCCUGCAGCAGACGGCACCUUUACCCCUCCUGUAACCACACACAUCAGACCCUUCAGACACAUGUCCACCCUAACACAGUCUGGGGACAGCCUCUCUUCAUCUAAACCAAGCUCCAGUUCUACCAGUGGACCAGUCCAACCAAGGAAGAGAACACAGGACAGAGUAGAUCAAGCCCCCAGAAAGAACCCUAAGAAUGCUGAUAAAACCAGAGAGCAUGGGGUCAGUAGUAUGGGAGGUGGUGAUGAAGGUGACACCUUACUUGUUCUGCUAGCCGUCGCGAGAGGACAAGGAGAGACUGGAGGAAGUGGUGAGGCGUCGAUGGACAGAUUCCCCUGUCGUUUCACCCCCUUGUCCACCCCUGAAGCAGACAGCACCUUCACCCCUCCUGUAACCACAUCUAUCAGACACCCCAGACUAGGGUUGCAAAGCUACCGACCCACAUCUACUCUGAAACAGUCUGGGGGCGGCCCCACUACGCCUAAACCAAGCUCCAGCUCUACCAGUGGACCAGCCCAACCAAGGAAGAGGACACAGCACAGAGUAGAACAAGCCCCCAGCAAGAACCUUAAGACUGCUGAUAAUACCAGAGAGCAUGGGAGUCUGGUAGCGAGAGGACAAGCAGAGACUGGAGGCAGUGGUGAGGCGUCGAUAGACAGAGACCUCUGUCGUUUCAACCCAUUGUUCACCCCUGCAGCAGGCAGCACCGUUACCCCUUCUGUAACCACACACAUCAGACCCACAUCUACUCUGAAACAGUCUGGGGGCGGCCCCACUACGCCUAAACCAAGCUCCAGCUCUACCAGUGGACCAGCCCAACCAAGGAAGAGGACACAGCACAGAGUAGAACAAGCCCCCAGCAAGAACCUUAAGACUGCUGAUAAUAGCAGAGAGCAUGGGGUCAGUAGUAUGGGAGGUAGUGAUGAUGGUGACGCUUUACUUAGCCAUAUUAUAAUUUCAACGCUAAGUGAAAUGCCGCCUGAACUGAAGUCCCAAGCUAAAUCAGAUAUGCUGAAACUGCUUUCUGCAAUGCAGGAAAAGUUGUCACAGCAUCAGAGUAGUACCAAUGUUAAUCACUGAUUAUGUUUUUCAACAGUGAACUUCCAUCAUUUAUACAUUAGAAUUCACAUCAGCAUACAUUUUAAAUAGUAGGAAAAUAUGUUCUGAAUGCUACUUGUGCAGAUAUUGCAUUAACUAGAUACUAAAGGACAAAGGCUACAUUGACACAGGCAGCCCAAAUCUUUUGCCAAUACAUGGGCAAAGUAUCAGAAUUAGGCUGCUUGUGUAAACGUAGCCUAAGAAUCCUAGUGUACAGAUUGAAUACUUUUUUCAUAUUCAUUUCAGUUAAAUUUGAAUUUAAUUUGGCAAUCAUAUCCCCAAACAUGUGUUCUUAUAUGACCGAACAGUGUUAUAACCGAGGUCUACUGCGCACCACAAGAUUGUGUUUUCCCUGUGAGCUAAAGCUUAGGCAUUAGUUCAGGGAGCCUCAUUGGCUAGUAGUUACACUACAUGUUCAAUUGUAGAAGAUGUUGCACCGUCUACAUCUAUAAAUAAUAAAGCUUGCCAACAUUCUUUCCUGUCAUGCCUGCUAAUAUGAAAAGCUACAGUUUUCCAAAAUAAAAAAUGUCAAAACAACGUCUAUUUGUGUCAAAUAUUUGUUUUGUUAACAGACUGAUGGUAGUCUUCUUUUCCGGUACAUGGGUUAUGUGGGGUUGUUUUGUGGCGUGAUUGUGUUUUACUAAUCCGUAUAUGAUACGAGUCUUGUGACGUGACACUUCUUCCAACCUCUCCGAAGACUGAC
ensembl:lncRNA